GACGAACGCUGGCGGCGUGCUUAACACAUGCAAGUCGAACGAAGAGCGAUGGAAGCUUGCUUCUAUCAAUCUUAGUGGCGAACGGGUGAGUAACGCGUAAUCAACCUGCCCUUCAGAGGGGGACAACAGUUGGAAACGACUGCUAAUACCGCAUACGAUCCAAUCUCGGCAUCGAGGAUGGAUGAAAGGUGGCCUCUAUUUAUAAGCUAUCACUGAAGGAGGGGAUUGCGUCUGAUUAGCUAGUUGGAGGGGUAACGGCCCACCAAGGCGAUGAUCAGUAGCCGGUCUGAGAGGAUGAACGGCCACAUUGGGACUGAGACACGGCCCAGUCUCCUACGGGAGGCAGCAGUGGGGAAUCUUCCGCAAUGGACGAAAGUCUGACGGAGCAACGCCGCGUGAGUGAUGACGGCCUUCGGGUUGUAAAGCUCUGUUAAUCGGGACGAAAGGCCUUCUUGCGAAUAGUUAGAAGGAUUGACGGUACCGGAAUAGAAAGCCACGGCUAACUACGUGCCAGCAGCCGCGGUAAUACGUAGGUGGCAAGCGUUGUCCGGAAUUAUUGGGCGUAAAGCGCGCGCAGGCGGAUUGGUCAGUCUGUCUUAAAAGUUCGGGGCUUAACCCCGUGAUGGGAUGGAAACUGCCAAUCUAGAGUAUCGGAGAGGAAAGUGGAAUUCCUAGUGUAGCGGUGAAAUGCGUAGAUAUUAGGAAGAACACCAGUGGCGAAGGCGACUUUCUGGACGAAAACUGACGCUGAGGCGCGAAAGCCAGGGGAGCGAACGGGAUUAGAUACCCCGGUAGUCCUGGCCGUAAACGAUGG
rnacentral:rRNA from 1 species